GAUUCUAGGAUCACUGUCCUAGAUAAUCUCUUCGUAAGCUGAUCAACCAGAUUCUUUGUAAAUUUCACAAAUUCCAAUCCAAUCACAUUUUCCUUCAAAUUCUGUCGAAUGAACUUAUGUCUCACUCUCACGAGCCUUAAUCUCCUAUGGUUUACUACCCUAGGGUCUCCUAAGUCCAACUAAACCAUUUCUUAUUAUUCUCUUUAUGUUCUUUUUAUGCUCUGAUACCAUCUUAUCUGUCAUGCCCCGAGCCCACCAUUUU
rnacentral:lncRNA from 1 species